ACGGAGGGUGCAAGCGUUAUCCGGAUUUAUUGGGUUUAAAGGGUCCGUAGGCGGACUUAUAAGUCAGUGGUGAAAGCCUGUCGCUUAACGAUAGAACUGCCAUUGAUACUGUAAGUCUUGAGUAUAUUUGAGGUAGCUGGAAUAAGUAGUGUAGCGGUGAAAUGCAUAGAUAUUACUUAGAACACCAAUUGCGAAGGCAGGUUACCAAGAUAUAACUGACGCUGAGGGACGAAAGCGUGGGGAGCGAACAG
rnacentral:rRNA from 1 species